CUGUGGCUGGGGGUGAAAGGCCAAUCAAACCGGGAGAUAGCUGGUUCUCCCCGAAAGCUAUUUAGGUAGCGCCUCGUGAAUUCAUCUCCGGGGGUAGAGCACUGUUUCGGCUAGGGGGCCAUCCCGGCUUACCAACCCGAUGCAAACUGCGAAUACCGGAGAAUGUUAUCACGGGAGACACACGGCGGGUGCUAACGUCCGUCGUGAAGAGGGAAACAACCCAGACCGCCAGCUAAGGUCCCAAAGUCAUGGUUAAGUGGGAAACGAUGUGGGAAGGCCCAGACAGCCAGGAUGUUGGCUUAGAAGCAGCCAUCAUUUAAAGAAAGCGUAAUAGCUCACUGGUCGAGUCGGCCUGCGCGGAAGAUGUAACGGGGCUAAACCAUGCACCGAAGCUGCGGCAGCGACGCUGAUGCGUUGUUGGGUAGGGGAGCGUUCUGUAAGCCUGUGAAGGUGGCCUGUGAGGGUUGCUGGAGGUAUCAGAAGUGCGAAUGCUGACAUAAGUAACGAUAAAGCGGGUGAAAAGCCCGCUCGCCGGAAGACCAAGGGUUCCUGUCCAACGUUAAUCGGGGCAGGGUGAGUCGACCCCUAAGGCGAGGCCGAAAGGCGUAGUCGAUGGGAAACGGGUUAAUAUUCCCGUACUUGGUGUUACUGCGAAGGGGGGACGGAGAAGGCUAUGUUGGCCGGGCGACGGUU
rnacentral:rRNA from 1 species